rnacentral:rRNA from 1 species
CAGUCGCCGCGGUAAUACGAAGGUCCCAAGCGUUGUUCGGAAUCACUGGGCGUAAAGGGAGCGUAGGCGGCGUGGUAAGUCAGAUGUGAAAUCCCGGGGCUCAACCCCGGAACUGCAUCCGAUACUGCCAUGCUUGAGGGUUGGAGAGGUAGCUGGAAUUCUUGGUGUAGCAGUGAAAUGCGUGGAUAUCAAGAGGAACACUCGUGGCGAAGGCGAGCUACUGGACAACAUCUGACGCUGAGGCUCGAAGGCCAGGGUAGCGAAAGGGAUUAGAUACCCCUGUAGUCCCUGUCUCUUAUAC